UCCACAGUAGCUCAGUGGUAGAGCUAUCGGCUGUUAACCGAUUGGUCGUAGGUUCGAGUCCUACCUGUGGAGCCA
rnacentral:tRNA from 4 species